rnacentral:lncRNA from 1 species
ACCGUCGUCGAGGGCCUCGAGGUGGUGGAGGAAACGAUGAGGGUUGGAGAGGGUGAAAAGAAGUUACAAAAAAAAUAAAGAAUUAGAUAGAAAAGAAGAAGAUGAUGAAGUUACACUAUUUCAGAGCAACGUUAUAUUAUUUUUUAAAAAAACUUAUACUAUUUGAGAGAAAAAUUAAACUUUUUUAAAUAAAAUUUUCACUAUUUGAAAGAAAGUUGCACUUUUUGGACGAAAAUUAUAUUAUUUCUCUUCUUCCUCCUCAUUCUUCUUUAUUUUUAUGUGGAUGAGGAGAAUAGUGUAAUUUUCGCCCAAAGAGUGCAAUUAUAAUUCAAAGAGUGAAACUUUUAUUUAGAAAAGUAUAAUUUUUUUAAAAUAAUAGUGCAACGUUCCUUUGAAACACUGCAUCUUCAUCAUCUCUUCUUUUCUUUUUGAUUUUUUUUUUCUUGUAUAAAAAAAUAUUUUUUUAUAUUUUAUUCUUUAUUAUUUUUAUUUUAUUUAUUUUUUUUCUUGGUUCCACUUUCACCCACGUUCUCUUCAAGUCCUU